rnacentral:lncRNA from 10 species
CUCUCUCCAUCUCUGUCUCUCCCCAUCUCUCUCUCUGUCUUUCUCCAUCUCUGUCUCUCUCUCUGUCUCUCUCCAUCUCUGUCUCUCCCCAUCUCUCUCUCUGUCUUUCUCCAUCUCUGUCUCUCCCUCUGUCUCUCUCCAUCUCUGUCUCACUCUGUCUCUCUUCAUCUGUCUCUCCCCAUCUCUGUCUUUGUCUCUCUCCACCUGUCUCUCUGUCUCUCUCCAUCUCUGUCUCUCCCCAUCUCUGUCUUUCUCCAUCUCUGCCUCUGUCUCUGUCUGUAUCUCUUUGUCUCCAUCUCCAUCUCCGUCUCCAUCUCCGUCUCUGCACCUCCCGCUCACCAAGGCUGCUCCCCUCACCAACUCCCCUACCUCCUGGCUUCUCCCUAUCUCUGACUCAACAGGGACUGAGUGCCGCAGAGGCCCUUGGGGAGGUCUGGGCUUUCUACUGCCUUCUGGUUACAGCCUCUCCUUCCCUGUAUCUGUCCUUCAUCCUGGCCUAAUGAGUCCACAUUUUAUUUAGGGAGAGGGCAGAGUGACAACCCUGGGUUGGGGGGGGGGGGACAAUCUGCAGUGCCCUGCAUGACUGAGUGUAUCUGGUUGUCUGUAGACCAGGUUUAGAAUCUCCAUACAAAGUUAGGAUUAGUAGGAGUAACUAGGGGAAUUAGAGUGAACCAUAAUAAUGAUGACAAAGGUGUAGAGGGUAAGUUCAACAUUGCCGAAAUCACAAAGGGCACCCUGCCAAGCUAGGUCUUCUAUGAGAGUAAAAAGUUGGGAAACCUACUGGUUGGGGGAUGGGUCGGGAAGGAGGGUGUCUAUGGGGUUUAUGAGGGAAAAGUCAGUUAAGUUAAGAUGAAGAAUGGUGAGGAAGCGGGGAAAAUUUGAGGAGGGUGUUGAUCCUUGAGUAGAACCUGGCCACCUGGAGAAAGGGAAGGGGAAUAGAUGUUUUGAGUUAGGUUAAGAUGUUUCGUCCCAAGAGGGGGUGGGACAAGAGGGCAUGAUGAGGAAAGAGUGGGCAAAGCAUGCAUAGUCCAGGCAGUAACUUAGCAUUGGGGUCUGGCGAGGGUUAGACGGUUUACCGUCUACCCUAAUUACUGAGAUAGUGGAUGGCUGGCUAGAACCUCCAUAGGUUGACAAAACAGAAUAGGUAGCCUCCGUAUUGAUAAGAAAAGAAGUUGGCUUACCCGCUACCUGAAGAGUUAC